CACCAGCGAAGGCAGUAGCUCAUUCACGACGCAGAGAGACGAAACUUGGUGGCGAUUUUUUCUUUCUGAUUCGGCGAAGAAGACGAUUUCCACUCGUGUUCCGAUGGCGACUUCAAGUUCUACCGAACAUUUAUUGUAUGGACCCGAAGACCCGUCCGUUUUAAAUAUG